CUAGAUACUGAUGGAGGACGGAGCUCCUUUUAGUCCAAUUCAGAGGGCUGAGGAGUGGCAAGAGCUGCCAUCUCAUGCAUUUGGCUACCCCCUUAACAUAUUAUUUUUCCAACCCUAGCCCGCUGCACGAAUGUUAAGGGUUUGGCCUGGUGCAUGGCGUGGGAGCAACUCCUUCCGUUCGCUUUGCCCACCCAUUGGACUGAAGGGAGCUCCCCACCAGCGGGUGCUAGUAAGGAGAAAUUGCCACAUGAGUAGUUCUUUGGUUCAAACACUGAUGGCACGAACCUCAGCUUUCGAUGAUGUAUGCGGUAGUUCAAUCAUCUAUGCUCCCCGAGUUAUCGUUGUAUACUUACACUCCCUUUAUUUUCCUUUACUUACAUUUUUGCUGUUUUUGUUAUUAAAACGGUGCAGGUACCGAUGGCAUAGUGGAUGCCGUGUAUGCGAAGAGUUAUUUAGUACGUUGUUGUAGGUUUCACCCGUAUUUUGUAUUUACGGGAUGGUAAUAUUAUGGAUUGUGUAAAGUAUUUAUGAAUGCGGUUUCUUUGAAUCUAGUGACUCUUUCUAUUUACGAAUGAGGAGAGGUGAUUCGAACUUAACGAAUGGAAUGAACGCUCCCUUUUGCAGUUGAA